AACGAACGCUGGCGGCAUGCCUAACACAUGCAAGUCGAACGAGACCUUCGGGUUUAGUGGCGCACGGGUGCGUAACGCGUGGGAACCUGCCCUUAGGUUCGGAGUCACUCACUGAAGGGGGUGCUAAUACCGGAUAAUGUCUUCGGGCCAAAGAUGUCUCGCUUUUGGGUGGGCGCGGGUUGGAUUCGGGGGUUGGUAGGGUAUAAGCCUAGCAAGGGGACGUUCCUUGGCUGGUGUGAGAGGAUGAUCUGGAACGCUUGGACUGAGACACGGCCCAGUAUCCUACGGGACACAGCAGUAGGGAGUAUAGUACAAGGGGCGAAGGCCUGAUCCAGCCACGCGGCGGAAGUGAGGAAGGCCGUAGGGUUGUAAAGCUCUCUGACCCGGAAUGAUAAUGACAGUACCGGGAGAAUAAGCGCCGGCUAACUCCGUG
rnacentral:rRNA from 1 species